GACUAUGCAGAGUUGCUGGUUCCCCGAAGACCUCUGAAUCCGAACAAAAGUUGUCUUCCAAACAACUUGCUGCAUCCGAGCAUAAGUCCCCUGACGUCACAAGAAGAGAUCCCCCCCGCUCUUCCUUAUCGACCAAAUAACUUGAGGAACUCUGCAGUGGUGUCUCCAAACAGGAUUUACCCUAAUUUGGAAGAAGAAUUUGAGCAUGUCGCCUCCCCGCUCCGAGCCACGCCUGUGACCAGAAAGAGAGCCGACGAUCCUCCAUCCAACCAGCCUCCCGAGGUCCCGGCUCGGAUCUCUGUCGCUCCACUGAAGCAAAACCAGGCUUGUACCAGAACAGUCUCUGCAGCUGGGAGCCCCCCCACACCUCCAGCCACUGAACCCCCCCUCAGUGCCAAUAUCCAGUCUGUAAAGAAGCAGGAAGACAAGCCGUCAGUUCUCCAACCUGAAGAACCUCAAGAAGAAAUUCCAAAAGAAGAGAACGCCGCAGGAGGAACACAUGUACACAGAGGUUAAUGUGGAGGCGACUGAAAGGAGUGGAAGCGCUGAGAAUGAGUACGAGGAGAUCACAGGGGAGCAGACCUCUAACGCUCCACCAUUUUCCUACAUUUGCACUAAUGCGAGACUGACUGAUGGAGAGAUCCCUCAGGAGUAUCUUCCACCUCCACCCUUUGCUCCAGGCUACUGACACACAGCUGAACUGCUCGCUUAGAAAAUGAUGUACAGAAGGAUCCAACACAAGCGGGUGAAGGUGCAGGAGAAAAGCAUCACACAGAGAGAAAGGAGCGAUAAUCUGCACAAUGGUUAUUAUAAGUUUAAGGGGAGAUAGUACACGUGAAAAAAUGAACUAAUAGAUAUCACCAUGAACCUUCUUCAGUUCAUUACUCACAUUAACACAAUAAUUGUUUGUAUUACAAGCUUUCUGAAAUGUUAUGUUUAAAUAUGCAAAUAAGGCAUUAUCUAAUGCUAACUUUUGUUGAAUUUUUAAAACAUCUACAGACAAAACAUGUUAUGGAAGCAAAAUAGACCAAACUCGCCUUAAUAAUGAACCAUUCCCACCUUUAACAUCUGUGUUUAC
rnacentral:lncRNA from 1 species